rnacentral:rRNA from 1 species
UACGUAGGGUGCGAGCGUUGUCCGGAAUUAUUGGGCGUAAAGAGCUCGUAGGCGGUUUGUCGCGUCGGAUGUGAAAGCCCGGGGCUUAACUCCGGGUCUGCAUUCGAUACGGGCAGACUAGAGUGUGGUAGGGGAGAUCGGAAUUCCUGGUGUAGCGGUGAAAUGCGCAGAUAUCAGGAGGAACACCGGUGGCGAAGGCGGGUCUCUGGGCCGAUACUGACGCUGAGGAGCGAAAGCGUGGGGAGCGAACAGG